GGAGCGGUAGUUCAGUUGGUUAGAACGCCGGCCUGUCACGCCGGAGGUCGCUGGUUCGAGUCCCGUCCGCUCCGCCA
rnacentral:tRNA from 1 species